UACGUAGGUGGCAAGCGUUGUCCGGAUUUAUUGGGUUUAAAGGGUGCGUAGGCGGCGAUCUAAGUCAGUGCUGAAAUAUCCCGGCUUAACCGGGAGGGUGGCAUUGAUACUGGGUUGCUUGAGUAAAGUUGAGGUAGGCGGAAUUGACGGUGUAGCGGUGAAAUGCUUAGAUAUCGUCAAGAACACCAAUAGUGAAGACAGCUUACUAAACUUUAACUGACGCUGAGGCACGAAAGUGUGGGGGAUCAAACAGG
rnacentral:rRNA from 1 species